AGCGUAUAUUAAAGUUGUUGCAGUUAAAAAGCUCGUAGUUGAAUUUCGGGAUCGAAUUGUUGGUCGUGCCUCGGUACGCACUGGCAUUAUCGGUUCCUACCUUCUGAAGAACCGCGAUGUCAUUAAUUUGGUGUCGUGGGGAAUCAGGACUGUUACUUUGAAAAAAUUAGAGUGUUUAAAGCAGGCUUACGCUUGAAUACAUUAGCAUGGAAUAAUGAAAUAGGACGUUUGAUUCUAUUUUGUUGGUUUCUAGGAUCGACGUAAUGAUUAAUAGGGAUAGUUGGGGGCAUUAGUAUUCAAUUGUCAGAGGUGAAAUUCUUGGAUUUAUUGAAGACUAACUACUGCGAAAGCAUUUGCCAAGGAUGUUUUCAUUAAUCAAGAACGAAAGUUAGGGGAUCGAAGACGAUCAGAUACCGUCGUAGUCUUAACCAUAAAC
rnacentral:rRNA from 1 species